AUUGAACGCUGGCGGAAUGCUUUACACAUGCAAGUCGAACGGCAGCACGGACUUCGGUCUGGUGGCGAGUGGCGAACGGGUGAGUAAUACAUCGGAACGUGCCCAGUCGUGGGGGAUAACGUAGCGAAAGUUACGCUAAUACCGCAUACGAUCUAAGGAUGAAAGCGGGGGACCGUAAGGCCUCGCGCGAUUGGAGCGGCCGAUGUCAGAUUAGGUAGUUGGUGGGGUAAAGGCUCACCAAGCCAACGAUCUGUAGCUGGUCUGAGAGGACGACCAGCCACACUGGAACUGAGACACGGUCCAGACUCCUACGGGAGGCAGCAGUGGGGAAUUUUGGACAAUGGACGCAAGUCUGAUCCAGCCAUUCCGCGUGCAGGAUGAAGGCCCUCGGGUUGUAAACUGCUUUUGUACGGAACGAAAAGGCUCUUCCUAAUACGAGGGGCUCAUGACGGUACCGUAAGAAUAAGCACCGGCUAACUACGUG
rnacentral:rRNA from 1 species